rnacentral:lncRNA from 1 species
GGUUGUAAGUGCCAAAGAAAACCACCUUUGUCUGGCUAAGACACUAACUGCUGGGCUCAGCUACUGCAGGAAAAGCAGCCCUGAUCAGCGAUCCUCCAGCCUCCCACAGACUGCGACAUCUGACAUCUUCAGAUAACACCCAAGCAUGGGCAGGGACUGGCCAAUCCUGUUCUUUAAAGUGAAACAGUGUUUACUGUUCAAGGAGAUAGCCCCUUUUCUAAAGAAUUACAGGGACUGGCCUAAGAGAAGAAAGUCGAUUGUUGUCUCCAGGGCGUUCUGGCAGGAGAGAAAGGAAAACUCAGGCCCCGAUGACCAGAGGCCCUCAGCACACGCCCGCCCGGCCUCCUGCCCUUGGCCCUGGAGCUCUCUUUCCACUUCUGCUACCUGGGUCCCCUAACGAGGCUUGCUGGGGGACCAUGGCGCCCGCUCUCCUUCCUGUCCACUGAUCUCCCGAGCAUUGGCUUCUGAGUGGCGAGCGGGUGGUCUCGGGUCCAGCGGCGCAGUCCCUUGGAGAGCAGCGGCUUUGUGAUCAGCAGUCAGGUCCACAGCUGCUCAGGGGUGACCUUUCUCUGAGUCAAGGAAACUCCGGGACUUCAGCACUGCGCUGGUGCUCAGAGGCCCAGUCUCUCAGGAACACAGGAAAGCAGGCCAAACACGAACACACAGCAAGCGCCCGGCGCCUCUGGGACCCAUCUGCUCACCUGGUGCUCUCGGCCUCUUGGAUCCGGAGUCACUGGGUCUCCUCACUCACUUGUCGUCUGCCCCCUCCCCCCGCCCCAUGAGUGAGCCCCCUUGCUGGCAGCUCCACCCGUGUCCCCAGCAACCCAGCUGACAAAGGCCGGGGGUGAGUGUCUGCUCCGUGGGAACACACCGCUCCGUGUGCAAGCGUUUCGGGCAAGGACCCCGACAACUGUAUCAGACCCUGAGGAUGCUUCUUGCUGCCUUCUGUCCCCCACCUGGGGACAAGCCUGCCCGGAAGUUUGCAGCUGGCCAGGACACAGGAGUCAGGCGCUGUCGUCAGACGGGAGGUCUGAAGGUCUUCCUGCUGUGCUGGACACUGCAGAGCGGAGACAGCUCGGCUCGAGCUUUCCCUUAGCAUCCCUUCCCCGGAGCUUCUUGCCUCCCCUGUGUUCUCCUCGGCCUCUGUUACUCAGAAGAGAAUUUUGGAAUUCCCGACUUUACGUAGGGCUCGCAAAGUUGGCUUCUCCUUCUGGUUUCUAAAUUACAUGCAGUCAGGACAUGCGCUGUCCCUGGCACUGACUGGAGAUUUCCUGAGGCGGCUUUGUCUCAUCCGCCUCUCCUUCCUGACUUUCCUCGUGGUGAAUCCUCUCUCUGCCCGGCCCUGCUUGAUGCAUUUUGGAGCCGCCUGCAGAGCACCCAGGUCCGGUGCGGGUGUCUCUGGGCAGAGCCCCUGGCACUGCGUCCCCUCCGUCCCUCUGACCCUGCGCACUGCCUCUGCCCGAGCCCAUUUCAGGGUGCAGGGCACAGCCCGCCUGUCUCCCGGGGUGUCUUUCCCAGUUUGUCUGAGUGUUUCAUCCUCCAGAAAUGUCCUGAGGCAGAGCGGAUGGUUCCUGGGGGCUCAGCAGCCGCAGGUCAGGGCUUUUUGUCUUCAUUUCCUCCCUUUCUUUUUCAUUCCUUUCUCUCCAGCACUUAAGAUGGAGCCUGGGCCUGUUGAGAGAGGCAAGUGCCCCACCGCUGCCCUGAUCUCCCCUCAACAAGCCCUCCCUGAGCCACGCUGAAAUUGCCACCCCAGCGAACGAGGAGGCCAGCAGAAGUGACAGCAGCAGCAAGACCCUCCCAGUGCUCCAGGGGUGCAGAGCAAGUGGCCAAGGCAGCAGGGUGGGAGUGCCCGCCGUGGGGUCUCUGCUCCCUGGAAGGGCACUGUGACACCACGAUGGCCUCCACCUGUGCCCGGCAGACCUGGAGGACAGUCAUCUGUCCGGCCUCGCAUCCCAGCCAACCGCAGAGCAGAGCUGCCUAACUCAACGCUUCCGUACUGCCACUCCCCAGUGACAGAGUGACGGCCAUGCACACAGCACCCCACCCCUUCACGUGCCAGAGGUCCUCAUCCUUGCGAGGAGACGCGGACUCUCUGCCCGUGCUGCACCGCCGCCUUCUGCAGUGUCACAGCCAGCCCUGGAAUCUGGUGCCGGAAAUUCUCCGACUGCCCUUCCUGCCUCUCCCUCUCUUCCUCCUCUCUCCUCUCCUUUUCUCUUUUCUUUUCUUUGCAUCCUUCUUUCUUUUCAGUAAUAAGGAUUGAGCCCAGGGUCUUUGCACUGACCUACAUUCCCAUCCUUUUUUUUUUCCUGUACUGGAAAUGGAACUCAGGACCUUGUGCUUACCAGGCAGGUGCACCACCACUGAGCUAAAUCCCCAGCCUUUGGGGUUUUCUUUUUGAGACAGGGUCUUGCUCUGUAGUUCAGGCUGUCCUUGAACCCACUGUGUAGCCCAGGCAGGCCUUGAACUCACAGCAAUCCUCCUGCCUCAGCUUCCCGGG